rnacentral:tRNA from 1 species
GCAUCAGUGGUUCAGUGGUAGAAUUUUUGCCUUUCAUGUGGGAGGGCUGGGUUUGAUUCUCAGCCAGUGUA